AGGGUUUGAUCAUGGCUCAGGAUGAACGCUAGCGGCAGGCUUAACACAUGCAAGUCGAGGGGUAACAGAGGUAGCUUGCUACUUGCUGACGACCGGCGCACGGGUGCGUAACGCGUAUACAAUCUGCCUUAUACAGAGGGAUAGCCUUUAGAAAUGAAGAUUAAUACCUCAUGGUCUAUUAAUAUAGCAUUAUAUAAAUAGUAAAGCUUCGGCGGUAUAAGAUGAGUAUGCGUCCUAUUAGUUAGUUGGUAAGGUAACGGCUUACCAAGACUACGAUAGGUAGGGGCCCUGAGAGGGGGAUCCCCCACACUGGUACUGAGACACGGACCAGACUCCUACGGGAGGCAGCAGUGAGGAAUAUUGGACAAUGGAGGAAACUCUGAUCCAGCCAUGCCGCGUGCAGGAAGACGGCCCUAUGGGUUGUAAACUGCUUUUAUAUAGGAAGAAACCUUUUCACGUGUGAGAAGCUGACGGUACUAUAAGAAUAAGGACCGGCUAACUCCGUGCCAGCAGCCGCGGUAAUACGGAGGGUCCGAGCGUUAUCCGGAAUCAUUGGGUUUAAAGGGUCCGUAGGCGGGAAUCUAAGUCAGUGGUGAAAUCUUACAGCUCAACUGUAAAAUUGCCAUUGAUACUGGGUUUCUUGAAUUAGUGUGAAGUGAUUAGAAUGUGUAGUGUAGCGGUGAAAUGCAUAGAUAUUACACAGAAUACCAAUUGCGAAGGCAGAUCACUAACACUAUAUUGACGCUGAGGGACGAAAGCGUGGGGAGCGAACAGGAUUAGAUACCCUGGUAGUCCACGCCGUAAACGAUGGAUACUAGCUGUUCGGUCUUCGGAUUGAGUGGCUAAGCGAAAGUGAUAAGUAUCCCACCUGGGGAGUACGUUCGCAAGAAUGAAACUCAAAGGAAUUGACGG
rnacentral:rRNA from 1 species